AGAGUUUGAUCAUGGCUCAGAACGUACGCUGGCGGCACGCCUAAUACAUGCAAGUCGAACGCAGUAGCAAUACUGAGUGGCAGACGGGUGAGUAUAAUGUGGGAAUAUGCCUUUUGGUUUGGAAUAACUCGGGGAAACUUGAGCUAAUACCGAAUAAGCCCUUACGGGGAAAGAUUCAUCGCCGAAAGAUUAGCCCGUACUUGAUUAGCUUGUUGGUGAGGUAAAAGCUCACCAAGGCAACGAUCAAUAGCUGUUCUUAGAGGAAGACCAGCCACAUUGGGACUGAGACACGGCCCAGACUCCUACGGGAGGCAGCAGUAGGGAAACUUGCACAAUGGGGGAAACCCUGAUGCAGCGAUGCCGCGUGAGUGAAGAAGGCCUUUGGGUUGUAAAACUCUUUCGUCGGGGAAGAAAAUGACUGUACCCGAAUAAGAAGGUCCGGCUAACUUCGUGCCAGCAGCCGCGGUAAUACGAAGGGAUCUAGCGUAGUUCGGAAUUACUGGGCUUAAAGAGCUCGUAGGUGGUUAAAAAAGUUGGUGGUGAAAUCCCAAGGCUCAACCUUGGAACUGCCAUCAAAACUUUUUAGCUAGAGUGUGAUAGAGGAAAGUGGAAUUUCUAGUGUAGAGGUGAAAUUCGUAGAUAUUAGAAAGAACACCAAAAGCGAAGGCAACUUUCUGGAUCACUACUGACACUGAGGAGCGAAAGCAUGGGUAGCGAAGAGGAUUAGAUACCCUCGUAGUCCAUGCUGUAAACGAUAUGUGCUAGACGUUGGAAAUUUAAUUUUCAGUGUCGCAGCAAAAGCGUUAAGCACACCGCCUGGGGAGUACGACCGCAAGGUUAAAACUCAAAUAAAUUGACGGGGACCCGCACAAGCAGUGGAGCAUGUGGUC
rnacentral:rRNA from 1 species